GUCAAGAAACACUCAUUAAUUACACAGACAGGAGUUUUCCCAAGCAAGAGUCAUUCAUCAGCUGCUGAGUUACAUGACUGCUGCUUGAUAACGUGUCAACACUCUGACGUCACAGAUCGGCAUGUGCUUGAGUGAUACCUAGACGCCUAAUUGGCCGCUCGACCGCACGUCAACGUCGCCGCCAUAUUGGAGCGGGCAACUCUCAUAACUCUCACAUCAGGAAUGAAGAAAACAUACCAGACUCAUCGACAGAUUAGACACCUACAAACCGUCACACGAUAAUAAAAACUGAUUUUGGGGUGUUAUCUUUCACGGCCAUUUGCAAACAGGACAAGGACAGCCUUAAGGAAAGCUCAGGAAACCUGUUCUCAGAGACGAGACUAUACCUCCCUAGACUAGUGUUGUGUUUGUACUAGUGCUGUCAAAAUUAGCGCGUUAACGCAUUCGAUUAAUUUGAAAUAUUUAACGCGUUAAAAAAAAAUAACGCAAUUAACGCGGUUGCAGUUUUUUUUAUUUCCAGUUGUGGCCUAUGUGUGUUCAACGUGCAAAGAAAUAUGGAUAAGACCAAGGAAGGACUUUUAGACGGAAAGUUUCAGUAUAAAACUCUGCCGGAUUACUCUUCAGUCUGCCACAAGAAACAUUACUCUUCAUUUAGUCUGCCACAAGAAACAGCAACAUUAAAAUCAUGAACUCAAAUAUCAUUGUUUAAAAAAAAAACAAAAAAACAAUGACUGUAACAGUGCGUGAAUCAGACCUUUCUGUUACGCUAACGUUAAUAAGCUUAAGCGAAAAUAACGAAAUAAUUGUGUAGCGGAGUAUUUUUUGUACACAGUGCCGCGAACUGUCAAUCACUCCUGUACGCGUGCAUCACUGUCCUCCUCAGCUGCAGCAACUUGCGCUCUCUCUCUUCAUCAAGCUUUACAACAAAAAGGGUACAAAAAGAUCAUAUUGUCUUUGUGCAUAGGCUAUAGAUUAAUUAGAUAAAUGAAUAUCUAAAUGUGUGCCUUUCCGUCUACGGUAUUUUUUUAGAACUUAGAAAAAAGAUGCUGCAGCCAAUGAGCAGCCAGCGGGGGCUGCAGGACGACUCAACCUCCGCAGACAGUUUGUAAUGUUUAUCAGACAAUAAAUACUCAAGAUUUUGCUUUAGUAUAACUCACAACGAGUUUCACACACCUUCUCCGGCCACGUUGAGUUGUUGACACUUAACAGUGGGAAAAGCGACACAUGCGCUAUUCACUUGUAUAACUUAAGGGUGAAUGGGUAAUGUAGUUUCUGCUCUGGGUCGGAUGAAUUAGGAAGCUUGCAUUGUGAAGGGCGCUCUGAAAACCAGCAGUGCAGGUAAAAGAUUAAAACCUCUAUUAAAACAGAUGUCCAAAUGAGCGUACCGGUACGCUACAAGCACGUUCUGGGCGCACGGAGAGGUGGCGGUACGCUCAAGAGCUAUAUUUGGAAGUGGCGGUACUGAGUACUGGUGCGUACAGGCCCACUUAAAGCACUGGCAAUGACUAUACUUUGGAAUUUUUUUGCAGUCCACUUAGAAUUCAACAUGGAAAUCAUUUUUGUUUUUUAUUGGCAUUGAUUGUUUUGAAAUUCAAAUGAUACUUACAUGCCUGUGUUUUUAUUUCUGUAAUAAAUAUGGCUUUCAAGCCAACAGUUAAUUUGGAGGAUAUUGAUGGUUUAUUGCAGGUAUGUUGUAGGUACAUGAGAAAAUCUGUGUUACAAGUUAAACAAAAAUUCCAAUAAACAAUCAUAUUUUGAAUUUAAAUAGUUUCUUUGUCUUGAGUUUACAUUAAUUAUUUACAUUUUACAUUUACAUAUCCAAAAAGUUUCAGUCUUUUAAUUGCGAUUAAUCGCGAUUAAUCGCGAUUAAUUUUAAAAAAUUGUGCGAUUAAUUAGUUAAUUUUUUUUAAUCGAUUGACAGCACUAGUUUGUACUAAACCCAGAGCAGCCCUGAAUGAAUCGACAGAAUGACCCAGCUCAUAUUCUAAAGCGAUUAAUUGUUUGAAAGCAUUAAUUUAUACCAGAAAACAAGACAGAAAUACUAAGGAAGAAAAUCUCUGCAUUAAUCACUUAAUCGUUUGAUUCUGAUUAAUUCAGACAUUUCUAAUAGCUCGCUCCGAAGCUCUGAUCAAAUGAUUCGCGAAACGCGCAUUCAAAUGAAUCGCGAGGUUAGUGAGGCGGUGUUUUUAUACUUUUACCAUCACCCUUUUAUACUGCUCUCUUUCUGGCUUAAGUCACACAGAAUUAAAAAAGAAAUUUAAAGUUAUCAAUAAAAUCCACAACAAUGUAGGAAGUACGAGCAGUUGAACAAACAUCUGUUGUACAAGCAGAAUUCAAAUUAUUUUAUAAUGGUUUGUAGGUUAUUUAACUUUGAAUUGAUGUUCUAAGUAACUGGUAUAUUAUUGCAUAAAUGUGAUAGUAACUUUCCAAAUUAAUGAGUUGUUUUUAUUAAAGUGUUAUAUGUUUAACAAAAAAUAAUACAUGUAUUGUUGUUUGCUUUAUGUUAAUUAAGUGCUCUUGCUGAGGCAUGGGAAAAAUAAAGGAGCUGGAAAAAACACCUGCUAGUGACAUCAGCAUCAUCUACACAUGCUAGUGACAUCAGCAUCAUCUACACACAUGCUAGUUACAUCAUGCUCCUCCUCACCUUCUAGUGGCAUCAGCAUCAUCUACACACCUGCUAGUGACAUCAGCAUCAUCUACACACCUGCUAGUGACAUCAGCAUCAUCUACACACAUGCUAGUGACAUCGGCAUCAUCUACUCACUUGCUAGUGACGUCAUGCUCCUCCUCACCUGCUAGUGACACCAUGCUUCUCUUCAACUGUUAGUAACUUGUCUGCUUUGUGAUAAGCAAAUUUUGCUAUCUUCCAAUUCUGAACACAUCAGAAAUCACCAACCUCUCCUGACAUAUCUUUCCAGUUUGGGUUUUGCGUGGUCCCUGAUGAACUCAACGUGGGAUGCCUUUCCGAUUUCUUUCACAUCAGGGCACGUAACCUCUACCAGGCCACAGAGAUGUUCUUCAUUUGGGUCCACCACUUUGCCAUCUGCACCAACCAAGAUGUGGAGCAUCAGGGUGGAUGAUGAGACCAGAUGGAAGAAUGUUAACGUCAAAGGUCUCCUCAUAGCGGUGAAGAACCACUGGCUCAAGUUUUAAUCCUCUACACAUCGCUCUCUAGAGACCCCGACAGAUGUUUACACAUACUGUUUAAUGCAAGAUAUAAAUGCGGUUAACCUGCAAUUACAAAUGCAUAAUGUUUUGAUGUCUUAAUCCCAAAAUGUUGAAUACUGAUAUUUGCAUUAAUAAAAGAACGUGCUUUAAGAGGUGAAAUUAAAAACACCAAUAUCUAGACAAUCAUGAAUUGUAACAUCACUUCCUUUAAUGUUUUUACUAUACAGCUGAUAUGGAAUUUGUUUAAAUGUUACAUUUUUGAAAAAAAAAAAAAUGUUAAAUGUUUAUAUGAAAUGCUUAUACAAAAUAAGUCUGUAGUUAACUUUAAAGUAUAUCUACAUUUCUUGCUUUCAUACAUGGUCAUAUAAAAAUUUGCCGAACUUAAGUGGUAGAUUUCUGCCAUUUACUGGAAAACAUUUAAAAUUACAAUUUUAACAAAAGCACUAUAUGAGCAUUCUGAGUGAUUUUAUUACACUAAUAUACAAUCAGACACCCCAAUUUCUGUUUUGAUAAAGUCAUUAAGUGUCAUGUCAUUUAGAUGAAUUAGAAUUUAAUUUAGGGUCCUGAAAGACCCUGAACACUGCACACAGGUUAAGAUGACCAUUGCUACAUAAAUAAAAUAAAAAUUGAAACUCA